AUUGAACGCUGGCGGCAGGCCUAACACAUGCAAGUCGAGCGGAUGACGGGAGCUUGCUCCUUGAUUCAGCGGCGGACGGGUGAGUAAUGCCUAGGAAUCUGCCUGGUAGUGGGGGACAACGUUUCGAAAGGAACGCUAAUACCGCAUACGUCCUACGGGAGAAAGCAGGGGACCUUCGGGCCUUGCGCUAUCAGAUGAGCCUAGGUCGGAUUAGCUAGUUGGUGGGGUAAUGGCUCACCAAGGCGACGAUCCGUAACUGGUCUGAGAGGAUGAUCAGUCAAACUGGAACUGAGACACGGUCCAGACUCCUACGGGAGGCAGCAGUGGGGAAUAUUGGACAAUGGGCGAAAGCCUGAUUCAGCCAUGCCGCGUGUGUGAAGAAGGUCUUCGGAUUGUAAAGCACUUUAAGUUGGGAGGAAGGGCAGUAAGUUAAUACCUUGCUGUUUUGACGUUACCGACAGAAUAAGCACCGGCUAACUCUGUGCCAGCCGCCGCUGUAA
rnacentral:rRNA from 1 species